UACAGCCAUAUCAUAUUGAAACAUUGGUUCCCAUAUGAUCACUGAAGUUAAGCAACAUCAAACCUGGUCAGUAACUUGAUGGGUGACCACUUGGGAAUUCCAGUUGCUGUAU